UACAGAGGUCCCGAGCGUUGUUCGGAUUCAUUGGGCGUAAAGGGUGCGUAGGCGGCGGGGGAAGUCUGAUGUGAAAUCCUGGGGCUCAACCCUGGAACUGCAUUGGAUACUCCCUUGCUAGAGUACUGGAGAGGAAACUGGAAUUUACGGUGUAGCAGUGAAAUGCGUAGAGAUCGUAAGGAAGACCAGUGGCGAAGGCGAGUUUCUGGACAGUUACUGACGCUGAGGCACGAAGGCCAGGGGAGCAAACGGG
rnacentral:rRNA from 1 species